rnacentral:ncRNA from 1 species
ACGGUAGGGGGAGACGGAGACGCUCCGAGGGGAACGCGGUCACCUGCACACGUCCUCGAAGCUGAGUCAAUGGUGAGACCGGCCCACGUGGC